UGGGGAAUAUUGGGCAAUGGAGGAAACUCUGACCCAGCGACGCCGCGUGCGGGAUGAAGGCCUUCGGGUUGUAAACCGCUUUCAGUAGGGAAGAANCGAAAGNGACGGUNCCUACAGAANAAGCACCGGCUAACUAUGUG
rnacentral:rRNA from 1 species